GACGAACGCUGGCGGCGUGCUUAACACAUGCAAGUCGAGCGAUGAAGCUCCUUCGGGAGUGGAUUAGCGGCGGACGGGUGAGUAACACGUGGGUAACCUGCCUCAUAGAGGGGAAUAGCCUUUCGAAAGGAAGAUUAAUACCGCAUAAGAUUGUAGCUUCGCAUGAAGCAGCAAUUAAAGGAGUAAUCCGCUAUGAAAUGGACCCGCGUCGCAUUAGCUAGUUGGUGAGGUAACGGCUCACCAAGGCGACGAUGCGUAGCCGACCUGAGAGGGUGAUCGGCCACAUUGGGACUGAGACACGGCCCAGACUCCUACGGGGGGCAGCAGUGGGGAAUAUUGCACAAUGGGGGAAACCCUGAUGCAGCAACGCCGCGUGAGUGAUGACGGUCUUCGGAUUGUAAAGCUCUGUCUUCAGGGACGAUAAUGACGGUACCUGAGGAGGAAGCCACGGCUAACUACGUGCCAGCAGCCGCGGUAA
rnacentral:rRNA from 1 species